CAGAUAGAAAGGUGAAAUCUAAUGAAGUAACGCCUGAAUAUAUCGACUUUGCGCCACAGACAACACAGAUUCCAAAUAAAGCGUUUGCUUCAACAACAACUUAUAGACACCAGAAUGUGAAUGAUAGAUCAUUUACUGAUCUCUUCAAAGAUAAAACAAAUCAGUACAAAGGUACAUCUGAUAGAUAACUAGAACCUUAUAAAUCGUCUCAUAUUCUUGACCUCAAUCAACACAGAAAGUCUGUAAUUGUACACAACAGGAAGGACGCAGAUGUAGUUGCUAUCGAUAAAUCAAAUAAUCUAACUCAACAAAACUCACCGUUAAUUGAGCCUGGACAACAAAACAUCAAUGACAUAAUAUGCGACCGAGUGCGCAACAUGAUUGCGGUCAAUUUAAGGUGAAGCGAUGCCAAAAUCACAACAAAGAUUCGGUUAUGUUCGGCUAUGUUCGGGUUACGUUCAGCAUCUGUGUGCGGCUAGAACGUACUAUACCGAUAGGAGAUGGCACGCACACAAGCGUAUCGUUCAGCAAUCAGCUGACUGAUUUUUGCACCACGUGUUUCAUUUGUUUUGAAAACUAAAAAUGUACAAAUUUCCCAAAUGAAUCAAAAUUCCUUGAAGAGAAUGUAUUCAUCUACAUGUGCCAACAUGCUUACAUACAGUGAUACAAUUUCUAAGCAAUCUGAGAUAAGAUAUUUAAGUUACAAACGAUUUUGUCUUGCGCGCCAAUGCAAUGUUUUGAUUUUGACGAUGAAAUAAAAAGAAGAAGCAGAAACGACGGCAGCCAUUUUAGCUGCCACCUUGUUGUUCUGUUCAGCAUGGCCUUAAUAAGUCGACCCGAUAACGAUUCUAAGAAGAAACGAGAGGUAAUAGAUGAUACCAUUUUCUUCGAUUCGCUGAAAAAUACCUGCUCUGAACCUAACGAGCAAAUACCUGUCAAUACUCAAUAUCAAAACAGCCCAAUGCAGUAACCGAACCAUGAUGUUGGUGAUAACAGUAGCAAAAAUGAUGAAAAUGAGGAUUCCGACUCGGAGUACGAAGGCGUCGUUGAUGAUGCUCAGGAAAUUCGCAUUGGUGAUCUAACCAUAUUUAACGAGUUCAUAGAGCAGGAAUAUUUCAAAAAAUAUGAAAAUUAAACGCUUCUCAAUGAUGAUGAUGAUGAUGGAAAACUACUAGAAGGAAAAGAGAAUAAAGGUCCAUCUUCACACUAUGCUACCGAAACCGCACUUCAAAAUGGUGACCUCGGAUUUGAUGAAAUUAAUUCAAGAAACUCUCCAACAAAAUACCGUAACUAUCGGAAGGCUAUUCAGAACUCACGAAUGAAAGGUUUGAAAUAUACAAGGACUGACGGAGUACUCACACCUGCCCGAAGCGUUAAAGCUCCAUGCAGCUGCACAAAGUACAAAUGUCACGCGAAGUAUAGCACAGCAAUGCGAGAAAAACUGCUGAUUAAUCUUUUGAAGCUAACGACAUCAGGACAAAACCAAUUUUUAAGUAAUCAUAUAUCAAUCCGGACAACUACACGGCCGAAGGGUAUAGGAUUUUCAAGGAGAGUGUUCACCAGAUCAUACUUUCUUCCCGCACUCAACGGUCGUAUCCGCGUG